ensembl:ncRNA asRNA:CR44020 antisense RNA:CR44020
AUGACUGGAGUUUAUCGCGCAACUGCUGGAAACACGUGGUCACCCGCUUUUUCACGGACUUAAGAUAAUAGGUUUUGGCGGAAGUAUUGGUGCUGGUAUAACUGAUCGGUUUGCUGGGGAAUUCACUUGUGACUGCGGCCAUCGCUUGGAGGAAAGUGAUCCAAUAUUCUUGGAUCCCUCGCCAACGCGGUCCACUUCUCCAUUCAUCUGCAUUUUGGAGACUUACGGUGCUUUUCGUACUGGAAGGCGAAAGAGCAGGCGCAACAGAAGUAACGGUUAACAUUCAAAGCAGUCUACGUAGCCAGUAAAAACAAUUAAACGAAAUUACCACCUGCAUUGCCAUUUGACGACCAUUACACAAAGCAGUUUGCACUCCGUUCCAGCUGGACAUUCGUUUUAAUGGCCUUUCUCUUGGUCCAGAUUAGAAAACAGCACGCCAGUGGGUCUGCAGAGCUGCUUGAUAAGCAAUUACGAAGUAGCAUAUACAUAAAUUCCAGAAUAACUCAAAUGGUGCCGACGAGCGUUACCACGUGCGGUGGUGCUCUGGUGGUCUGUCGGCUAAUCGGCAAAUGGAGCUGCUUGGCAGCAAUUCCCCAGGAGAUGAUUAUCCAUCCAUACAGCAAGUGCACCUGAAACUCCGAGAAGGGUAAUGGAGGCACUUGCUCUGAGGGUUAGUCCAGCGAUUGAUGGAUGACUCAGGGGCUUUCUUACAUCUCGUGAUGAUUCCGGCACCCCGGAAGAAGCACAGACAAUCGGAAGGAGGAUUAUGGCUUCUUAGCUUAAGCAAGUUGGAUACAGUCAAACAUCAGUAAUGCGUACC